AAUCAACGCUGGCGGCGUGCCUCAGACAUGCAAGUCGAACGCGAAAGCCCCUUCGGGGGCAAGUAGAGUGGCGCACGGGUGAGUAACACGUAGGUAAUCUACCUUCGGAUGGGGAAUAACAACCGGAAACGGUUGCUAAUACCGCAUAAUGCAGCGGCACCUAAUGGUGACAGUUGUUAAAGCGGGGGAUCGCAAGACCUCGCGUCUGAAGAGGAGCCUGCGGCGGAUUAGCUAGUUGGUAGGGUAACGGCCUACCAAGGCGACGAUCCGUAGCCGGCCUGAGAGGGCGGUCGGCCACACUGACACUGACAUACGGGUCAGACUCCUACGGGAGGCAGCAGUCGGGAAUUUUGGGCAAUGGGCGCAAGCCUGACCCAGCAACGCCGCGUGAAGGAUGAAAUCCUUCGGGAUGUAAACUUCGCAAGAACGGGAAGAAUAAGUCUGCGCGAAUAGCGCAGAUGAUGACGGUACCGUUUGUAAGCUCCGGCUAACUCCGUGCCAGCAGCCGCGGUAAUACGGGGGGAGCAAGCGUUGUUCGGAUUUACUGGGCGUAAAGGGCGCGUAAGCGGCCUGCUAAGUCGAACGUGAAAUCCCCGAGCUCAACUCGGGAACUGCGUCCGAUACUGG
rnacentral:rRNA from 1 species